CCUACGGGUGGCAGCAGUGAGGAAUAUUGGUCAAUGGUCGGAAGGCUGAACCAGCCAUGCCGCGUGAAGGUCAGUGCCCUAUGGGCGUUAAACUUCUUUUGUGCGGGAGCAAUAAUGGUCACGUGUGGCCAGACGAGAGUACCGUACGAAUAAGCAUCGGCUAACUCCGUGCCAGCAGCCGCGGUAAUACGGGGGAUGCAAGCGUUAUCCGGAUUUAUUGGGUUUAAAGGGUGCGUAGGCUGUGAGGUAAGUCAGCGGUGAAAUGCCCCCGCUCAACGGGGUGAAGUGCCAUUGAUACUGCCUGGCUGGAAUGCGGAUGCCGUGGGAGGAAUGUGUGGUGUAGCGGUGAAAUGCAUAGAUAUCACACAGAACACCGAUUGCGAAGGCAUCUCACGAAGCCGCGAUUGACGCUGAUGCACGAAAGCGUGGGUAUCAAACAGGAUUAGAUACCCCAGUAGUC
rnacentral:rRNA from 1 species